UACGAAGGGGGCUAGCGUUGCUCGGAAUCACUGGGCGUAAAGCGCACGUAGGCGGAUUGCUAAGUCAGGGGUGAAAUCCUGGAGCUCAACUCCAGAACUGCCUUUGAUACUGGCGAUCUUGAGUCCGGGAGAGGUGAGUGGAACUGCGAGUGUAGAGGUGAAAUGCGUAGAUAUUGGGAGGAACACCAGUGGCGAAGGCGGCUCACUGGACCGGUACUGACGCUGAUGCGCGAAAGCGUGGGGAGCAAACGGG
rnacentral:rRNA from 1 species